rnacentral:lncRNA from 1 species
ACGGAUGAAAAUUUUACAAGAUAUGCAGACCAAAUAGCUAAAAUUGCUUAAGUGGUUCCGAAUAUUUGAAAAACAUGAAGUUAGAUGUUAUUGAAAAUUGAAAAUUCGCGUCGCGUUGCAUGGCGUGAACGUUGCGGAUACAGGCCUACACCCACGAUCCGCCAUGUAAAGUGUAGUGAAAUGUAUCUCAAUACUAAUCGUAAUCAUAGCCAACAGUAGCCUCUGCGGAGGAGAGAGCUACGCGAUGUUAGUGUACGAACGCCCACGCAUUAUUUUAGAACAGGAAAUUACUGUAUUACUUUUUUCAAUGGGGGAAGUCGUAUCCAAAAAUAGCUGGUUUAAUUACGUAUAGUAUUAAUACACCGAUAUGAAGAUUGGAUAUCGGCGCUAAAUUCAAAAUAUUGGUAUCGGUACUUUUGUUGCCGAUAUUAUCCGCAUUGUAUUAUAACAUACAAUAUAUUUUAAAGUUAAAGACAAAGUAUAUUUUGGAUUGCAAUUUGAUUGUAACACAACACAGUGACGUGAAUGUAUGAAUAUAAACUCAAUAAUUUAUAGCCAUAUUCAAAGAAGUUAUCAAUGUAUACAUGUAUACAUUAAGUUGUUCAUGCAUUUGAUUUUUCGAUGUAAAAUAGAAUAUCGCGUCAUCGGAUGUAUGCCAAUAUUGGCCCUUGAAUAUCGGUUAUCAGAAUAUCGGUAAAAUCCCAUGUUGGUUAUAUCACCAUGCCAAGACCAAGUUCUUCAGAAAGGGAAUUUCGAACGAAUACUCAUAAUCAGCCCGGAUAGACCAUAUGCUCUGCGAUCGACAAAUAACCUUGCAAGUGGCAAAGGCAUCGACCAAAUCCUUCUUUAUAGGCAAUUCCAGCUUUUAGUUUAUGCGUGCAGGGGAGGAUGGGAAGUUAUCGUAUUGCUGAUUAUGCUGAAAUAAAAUGGUGGCCGUGUAAACACGGAGUGAUAGCUUAUACUUGUGAAUAUUGAAAUAUUUCGGUUGUUUCGGCAGUUUUUAUUGAAACUUUUCAGCAUAAUCAGCAACAUGAUACCUUACUUCCCAUCACGCCCUGCGCGCAUAAAUUAAAAGCUGGAAUUGCCUAUAACGAUACACAAAAUUGACAAAGUGGCUUUUAAUGCAAUAUGAAUAAAGAAAACAUUUAAAUAUUCGGAUAGUUUCUAUUUUCUACAGGUACAAAUUGAAAAUGAAUCGGUCCAAAAGUACUGUCACUAAAAUGAUGAUUUCGCGUAAAAAGUUCAUGACGCAGCAAAUACGAUUUCCGUUGUUGUAAAGAAACUGCUGAUUUGACAUGUAGAGAUAUUUUCAUAUUCUCGGAAAGUACUCAGCCAAACCUCGUACCCAGGCUAAUUCCUCUUAUGCUCUGAUGCCACGGCCACCUGCUGACCCUGGAAGUGCUCUCACUUUUAAGGAAUUAUCCUUAAAAAUAGGAAUCUUGAAGAAUUUUAAGGAUUCUUUUAAGGAAUUUAUGUGACCAGGCCUUGUAGUAAUUUUAUCAAUUUAAGGAAUUUUAAGGAAAUCUGAGGAAUUUUCAAGCUUUUUCUAAGGAAUUCGAAAAUUUGAUUGCGAGAGCACUGGACCCUGACUACGAGGAUGUACUCAGCUUUGCCUUAUAUAUAGAGCCUCGUUUUUGUGACUUGAGAGUCAUUUAUACACUAAGAUUAUCAAUAACAAGAUAUCGAGUUUCUGAUUGGAAAUCUGUGCUUAUCACUCAUGUCAGCAAAAAAUUGUUGAUGUUGGAUUAUGGAUAUAGAUUAUAGUCGAGUAAAUGCGAAAAAGAAAUGUUUAGACGUCAGGUUCAGUUAAGCUGCUCGUUCACCUGACAAAGUGUUAAAAAGCAUUGAACCUAGUCCUAGGUGGAUUUACAUGGCCUGUUAAUUUAAAGUGGAUUCUAUUUAUACGGUCUAGUAUUAUACUUAUUGUGUUAAAAUUAUUUUUUAUAUAUGUAUAUAAUUUGUUGUACUUUGUCUUUAUUCAAUUUAUACUCCAUACGUGUUUUUAAAUAGAAUACAAAUAUAUGUUGUUGGUGACUUGUUGUUGCUGUCCAUGCAGUCGAAGUGACCUGACACAAUCUUAUAAUGAAGACAGUUGAGUUGUAAGAGCAUGAACAUUUAAAACUAUUUUCGAAUAUAUUUCGUUUGUUAUAUAGAUCUGACACGACCCACCAUUCUAUGAAAUAGAUACACGUUUUAAAUAUCAAUUGAAUAAUGUUCUAAUUUCGAUACAAAAAUCUUUCUCGUUCAUCGCUGGAUUUUUUUUAUAAACGACAUGUCUCUUGGAUAUGUAAAGCAAAUUGAGAAAUAUUUAACAAAUAUAAUAAAUUAAACAGCAAACUGAGAAAUAUCGAGAGAAAUACUUAUAGAAUAUCCCGCAUCAGUCUACAAUUGUUAAAGACUGCUGUAAUCCAAUAUUGGUAAGUAACAUAUUUAGCUAUAACUAUGUCUAUAAUAAUAAUAAUAAUAAUAAUAACUUUAUUCAUAACAAAAUACCAAUACUGGUACAUAAUGAAUACAUAACAUUGUAUAAAAAAUAUUAAAUCACAAAAUCG